GAUGAAGAACGCAGCGAAAUGCGAUAAGUAAUGUGAAUUGCAGAAUUCAGUGAAUCAUCGAAUCUUUGAACGCACAUUGCGCCCGCCAGUAUUCUGGCGGGCAUGCCUGUUCGAGCGUCAUUUCAACCAUCAAGCCCCGGGCUUGUGUUGGGGACCUGCGGCUGCCGCAGGCCCUGAAAUGCAGUGGCGGGCUCGCUGUCACUCCGAGCGUAGUAGUUACAUCUCGCUCUGGGCGUGCUGCGGGUUCCGGCCGUUAAAAGCCUUAUUUACCCAAGGUUGACCUCGGAUCAGGUAGGAAGACCCGCUGAACUUAAGCAUAUCAAUAAGAGGAGGA
rnacentral:misc_RNA from 1 species